rnacentral:misc_RNA from 1 species
AUAAGAUUAUUCCAUCAAGCCUUCAAGAGGAGGAAGGCAACUUGAAUCCCAAUAAAUCCGAUCCUCAUAGUUUUGAUUUGAUUUCAAUUCCAAUUCAAGAUAAUUUCAGUUUUGAUUUAGAUUUUGAUUUGAUUUAAAUUGAGAUGAUCUAACAAUUGAACAAUUUUUGAAACUUCUCAGAAAAUUCAUAAUUUAAAUUAAAUUGUCAAUUGUAAUCAAUCUGGUUCGGCAAUACCUAAGCAAUUCUAUCAUGGUCCCUGUCCAUAAUUUGGUUACAGUUGUAUGGGAUUGAAAUUGAUUUGUGAUAGAUGGGCUGGGCAUAUGUUCACGUUAUUAUCCUCAACUUUAUAAUCAUUUUUUUUUUAAAAUUUGAUGCAAUA